rnacentral:rRNA from 1 species
GAUGAACGCUGGCGGCGUGCCUAAUACAUGCAAGUCGAGCGAACAGAUGAGGAGCUUGCUCCUCUGACGUUAGCGGCGGACGGGUGAGUAACAUGUGGAUAACCUACCUAUAAGACUGGGAUAACUUCGGGAAACCGGAGCUAAUACCGGAUAAUAUAUUGAACCGCAUGGUUCAAUAGUGAAAGACGGUUUUGCUGUCACUUAUAGAUGGAUCCGCGCCGCAUUAGCUAGUUGGUAAGGUAACGGCUUACCAAGGCGACGAUGCGUAGCCGACCUGAGAGGGUGAUCGGCCACACUGGAACUGAGACACGGUCCAGACUCCUACGGGAGGCAGCAGUAGGGAAUCUUCCGCAAUGGGCGAAAGCCUGACGGAGCAACGCCGCGUGAGUGAUGAAGGUCUUCGGAUCGUAAAACUCUGUUAUUAGGGAAGAACAAAUGUGUAAGUAACUAUGCACGUCUUGACGGUACCUAAUCAGAAAGCCACGGCUAACUACGUG